rnacentral:misc_RNA from 1 species
UAGAGAGAGAAAAGCGGAGAAAUGGCUUUGAAGGAAGAGUUUGAAGAACAUGCUGUCAAGGCUAAAACGCUACCUGAAAGUACUACUAACGAGAACAAGCUGAUUCUUUAUGGUCUUUAUAAGCAAGCUACUAUUGGACCCGUGGACACCGGCCGUCCUGGAAUGUUCAGCCCAAGGGAGAGGGCCAAAUGGGAUGCUUGGAAGGCUGUCGAAGGGAAAUCGAAGGAGGAAGCUAUGGGAGACUACAUCACCAAGGUGAAGCAGUUACUGGAAGAGGCCUCGGCUUGAAUGGUAUAGUCUACCUCUAGUUGGAGACUACCAAUGGGGUGUUAAGUAUUUCUGUAACUUGUCUAAAUUUAUGUCUUGGAUUGACGUACAAAUAGACGCUCAUGGGCAUAAUAAUGUGUACUGUUUACUGCAAUGUGUGCUUUCUUUUUCAAUAUUCAC